GAUGAACGCUGGCGGCGUGCCUAAUACAUGCAAGUCGAGCGAACGGACGAGAAGCUUGCUCCUCUAAUGUUAGCGGCGGACGGGUGAGUAACACGUGGAUAACCUACCUAUAAGACUGGGAUGACUUCGGGAAACCGGAUCUAAUACCGGAUAAUAUUUUGAACCGCAUGGUUCAAAAGUGAAAGACGGUCUUGCUGUCACUUAUAGAUGGAUCCGCGCUGCAUUAGCUAGUUGGUAAGGUAACGGCUUACCAAGGCAACGAUGCAUAGCUGACCUGAGAGGGUGAUCGGCCACACUGGAACUGAGACACGGUCCAGACUCCUACGGGAGGCAGCAGUGGGGAAUAUUCCACAAUGGGCGCAAGCCUGACGCAGCAAUGCCGCGUGAGUGAUGAAGGUCUUCGGAUCGUAAAGCUCUUUUAUUAGGGAAGAACAGAUGUGUAUGAAUAUGUGCACAUCUUGACGGUACCUAAUCAGAAAGCCCCGGCUAACUUCGUG
rnacentral:rRNA from 1 species